GCACCCGCGGUAAUUCCAGCACCAAUAGCGUAUAUUAAUGCUGCUGCUGUUAAAAAGCUCGUAGUUGGAUCAAGAGUCGGACAGUGCAAGGUGGCCCUGUUUGUCCGUCUUGGUUCCGACCAUGGCGGCGGCAGCGGGUUAACCCCUUGCGCCAAACUGUCCGCUCUAACAGGCCGAAACGGUUCCCUGUGAGUAGGUCCUUCACGGGAUCGAAAGCGCCUACGCAUCAACCAUAUGCAUACGGGACGUCGGCCAAUGUUACUGUGAACAAACCAGCGUGUCCAAAGCAGGCUUUCGCCUGAAUGUUCGAGCAUGGAAUAACAAGGGAUCGAUCCUCUCGGUUCUUUUUGUUGGUUUUUAACCCGAGAAGGAGUAAUUCAGGCCACGGUGUCUGAGUUGGGUUCCCCUGCUCUUCGGAGUAGGCCCCAAUUAGGCCGUGUCCUUACGGGAUCAAUAGGGACUGACGGGGUCGUACGUACUCUCGCGUCAGAGGUGAAAUUCUUAGAUCGCGGGAAGACGAACUUCUGCGAAAGCAUUCGACAAGAAUGUCUUCAUUAAUCAAGAACGAGAGUGUGGGGAUCGAAGAUGAUCAGAUACCGUCGUAGUCCACUACUGUAAACAAUGCCGUCUCAGGAUUGAGAAGUGAACCAAAUGACUUUCACAGCACUAACUCCUGAAACGAGAAAUCAAAGAUUAUGGGUUCAGGGGGGAGUACAUUCGCAAGGCUGAAACUUAAAGGAAUUGACGGAAUGACACCACAAGGCGUGGAGUAUGCGGCUUAAUUUGACUCAACACGGGGAAUUUUACUAGGUCAGGACAAUGUAAGGAUUGACAGAUUGAGAGCUCUUUCUCGAUCCAUUGUGUGGUGGUGCAUGGCCGCUCCUGGUUGGUGGAGUGAUUUGUCUGGUUGAUUCCGUUAACGAACGAGAUCUCGACCCUUAAAUAGGUGCCCGUAUCGAUUGUAGUCUCACCUCCGCUUGCUUGCAAGAUUGGAGUGGGACGAGAUUGCGGGAAUACUUCUUAAGGGGACUGUAUGCGUUUAUAGCAUGCGGAAGAGCGAGCCAAUAGCAGGUCUGUGAUGCUCCUAAAUGUCCUAGGCUGCACGCGCACUACACUGAUGCAAUAAACGAGUCUGAGUGCCUUCUGGCAACCUACCUGGAAGCGGGUGGGAAAUCUUUUGAACUUGCAUCGUGAUGAG
rnacentral:rRNA from 1 species